AGAGUUUGAUCCUGGCUCAGGACGAACGCUGGCGGCGCGCCUAACACAUGCAAGUCGAACGAGCGAGAGAGAGCUUGCUUUCUCGAGCGAGUGGCGAACGGGUGAGUAACGCGUGAGGAACCUGCCUCAAAGAGGGGGCAACAGUUGGAAACGACUGCUAAUACCGCAUAAGCCCACGGGUCGGCAUCGACCAGAGGGAAAAGGAGCAAUCCGCUUUGAGAUGGCCUCGCGUCCGAUUAGCUAGUUGGUGAGGUAACGGCCCACCAAGGCGACGAUCGGUAGCCGGACUGAGAGGUUGAACGGCCACAUUGGGACUGAGACACGGCCCAGACUCCUACGGGAGGCAGCAGUGGGGAAUAUUGCACAAUGGGGGAAAUCCUGAUGCAGCGACGCCGCGUGGAGGAAGAAGGUCUUCGGAUUGUAAACUCCUGUUGUUGGGGAAGAUAAUGACGGUACCCAACAAGGAAGUGACGGCUAACUACGUGCCAGCAGCCGCGGUAAAACGUAGGUCACAAGCGUUGUCCGGAAUUACUGGGUGUAAAGGGAGCGCAGGCGGGAAGACAAGUUGGAAGUGAAAUCUAUGGGCUCAACCCAUAAACUGCUUUCAAAACUGUUUUUCUUGAGUAGUGCAGAGGUAGGCGGAAUUCCCGGUGUAGCGGUGGAAUGCGUAGAUAUCGGGAGGAACACCAGUGGCGAAGGCGGCCUACUGGGCACCAACUGACGCUGAGGCUCGAAAGUGUGGGUAGCAAACAGGAUUAGAUACCCUGGUAGUCCACACCGUAAACGAUGAUUACUAGGUGUUGGAGGAUUGACCCCUUCAGUGCCGCAGUUAACACAAUAAGUAAUCCACCUGGGAGUACGACCGCAAGGUUGAAACUCAAAGGAAUUGACGGGGGCCCGCACAAGCAGUGGAGUAUGUGGUUUAAUUCGACGCAACGCGAAGAACCUUACCAAGUCUUGACAUCCCUUGACAGACAUAGAAAUAUGUAUUCUCUUCGGAGCAAGGAGACAGGUGGUGCAUGGUUGUCGUCAGCUCGUGUCGUGAGAUGUUGGGUUAAGUCCCGCAACGAGCGCAACCCUUAUGGUCAGUUACUACGCAAGAGGACUCUGGCCAGACUGCCGUUGACAAAACGGAGGAAGGUGGGGAUGACGUCAAAUCAUCAUGCCCUUUAUGACUUGGGCUACACACGUACUACAAUGGCGUUAAACAAAGAGAAGCAAGACCGCGAGGUGGAGCAAAACUCAGAAACAACGUCCCAGUUCGGACUGCAGGCUGCAACUCGCCUGCACGAAGUCGGAAUUGCUAGUAAUCGUGGAUCAGCAUGCCACGGUGAAUACGUUCCCGGGCCUUGUACACACCGCCCGUCACACCAUGAGAGCCGGGGGGACCCGAAGUCGGUAGUC
rnacentral:rRNA from 1 species